GGAGGGAUACUCUUAUAGUGGUUUGAGUGUUGGACUAUAACUCUGGAGACCCGGGUUCAAUUCCCAGUUCGGCCA